GGUCACGGGGAAAAACAUCAAGGACUUCCUCCUGCAAGCGGCCAGGCCAGGCCGUGGCGGCCGCCCAGCUGGGACACCAAAGCCAGCAAAGGGAGGAGGACCUGCUCAAGGCUGCAGGGACAGCGGUGACACAGAGGGGAAGCAAACCCAGUCUUCUGGUGGCCAGGGAUGGAAAGACGUCUGAGACAAAACAAAGGAUGACCCAUCCAGAGAGGACACAGCAUGGUCCAGAGGUGGCAGAGGAUUCAAGGCAAGUUAUCCCGAAGCAUGAAAAAUCAGACCAUCUGCAUCAUCUCCCACUGAAAUCCCUUCAACAGCCUCCUGAUCAGCAUCAUUAAUAAGAUUUAACGAUGUUCGGCAGCCAGCAGCGAUGGAUCACUUACCCCACGCCAGGCCUGUGCUGAGCGCUUGACACACACUGUCUCAUUAAUUCACACCACCCUGGA